AGAGUUUGAUCCUGGCUCAGAGCGAACGCUGGCGGCAGGCUUAACACAUGCAAGUCGAGCGGGCAUAGCAAUAUGUCAGCGGCAGACGGGUGAGUAACGCGUGGGAACGUACCUUUUGGUUCGGAACAACACAGGGAAACUUGUGCUAAUACCGGAUAAGCCCUUACGGGGAAAGAUUUAUCGCCGAAAGAUCGGCCCGCGUCUGAUUAGCUAGUUGGUGAGGUAAUGGCUCACCAAGGCGACGAUCAGUAGCUGGUCUGAGAGGAUGAUCAGCCACAUUGGGACUGAGACACGGCCCAAACUCCUACGGGAGGCAGCAGUGGGGAAUAUUGGACAAUGGGCGCAAGCCUGAUCCAGCCAUGCCGCGUGAGUGAUGAAGGCCCUAGGGUUGUAAAGCUCUUUUGUGCGGGAAGAUAAUGACGGUACCGCAAGAAUAAGCCCCGGCUAACUUCGUGCCAGCCGCCGCGGUAAUAC
rnacentral:rRNA from 1 species